GAUGAACGCUAGCGGCAGGCCUAACACAUGCAAGUCGAGGGAGAAGCCCUUUCGGGGGCAGAAACCGGCGCACGGGUGCGUAACGCGUAUGCAACCUACCUUUCACAGGGGGAUAGCCCGAAGAAAUUUGGAUUAAUACCCCAUAAUAUUAUUGGAUGGCAUCAUUUGAUAAUUAAAACUGCGGUGGUGAAAGAUGGGCAUGCGUCCUAUUAGCUAGUUGGAGUGGUAACGGCACCCCAAGGCUACGAUAGGUAGGGGUCCUGAGAGGGAGAUCCCCCACACUGGUACUGAGACAGGGACCAGACUCCUACGGGAGGCAGCAGUGAGGAAUAUUGGUCAAGGGUCGGAAGACUGAACCAGCCAUGCCGCGUGCAGGAAGAAUGCCUUAUGGGUUGUAAACUGCUUCUAUAUGGGAAGAAUAAGGCGUACGUGUACGUUGAUGACGGUACCAUAUGAAUAAGCAUCGGCUAACUCCGUG
rnacentral:rRNA from 1 species